AGCCAGGGCUACAUGGAGAAACUGUCCUGAAAAACAAAAACAGACAAACAAAAGAACAAACAACUGAAUAAAACCCGCCAAAGCUCCUGGUGUCGUGUUACAGUUUACCCCAUACUAUGAUUUUGCCACUUAGUCAAAUCCUUGGUCCUUUCCCUUCGCUUUCUUUCUGGAUCUCUGCUGUUUGUUACUCUCGGCCAGCGACUCUGAAAGAGCACUGAGCUCUGAGCACUGACUAGAGCAAUGCCCUAGCCCAGCUCUGACCCUCAGUUAACUUUCAACUGGAGCUUUUCAUAGCGCAUGCGCACACUCACAUACUCAGAAAAAAACCGCCCACCUCGCCAUGGAAAUUAAUUUGAAUGAGGGUUGCCCAAUUUUUCUCCUUUCCUCGAUUCUUCACUGCUUGUUUAUUUUGUUUGCAUGUGUAUGUAUAAUAUAUGUGUUUAUGGUUCUGUGGGGUGUGUCGGGGGCACCCACGCAUGCCAGGCACGCGUGUGGAGGUCAGAGGACAGCUUCAGGUGCGAGUCCUCGCCUCGCGACUCAGCUUGCUCACCACUGCACUGUGUGUGCCAGGCCAGCUGGCCUGGGAGUUUUCAGCGUCAUCUUAUCUCUGACUCCUAUCUCACCCGAAGAAUGCUGGGGUGACAGUUGGGUGCCGCCAUGUCUGGCCGUAUGUAGUAGGUUCAGGAGACUGGAACUCGUCUUCCCCUUUGCAUGGCAAGAUGCAUUUUACCCCCUAGCCAAUUUCCCUACCCCCUUUGCCUCUUGAUUUAGGAAAAGAGACUAAAUAAAUAAAUUAAUUAAUUAAUAAAACUUAUGCCUCAUAGCUUAAAUACAGUGCUUGUUAUAUGUUAGUCCCCAAUUCAAAGAAAACUUAAUUUUUAAAAAUGCCCUUUAUUUUCCUUUAUUGAUGCUAAGAGUAAUGCCCCUUCUGGAGAAUCUGAAAAUAUAGCUAGCUAUAACAAAUAUUAUCCUGACACCUGUUUCAUGCGCUUGUUUACAUGGUUGGAAUUAUUCAUUUUACACAAGUUCCUGUUCUGUUCUUUCCCACAUGACGUAUGUACACCCUCCCCAACCUCAAGUUAAUGAAAAGUUGCCAGUUGUUACUUAAAAUAGAUAUUUAUUUGAGGCUGGCUUGUUAUAGCUCAGUCAACUAUUUACUUGAUGUGCCUGAUACCCUGCAUCAGUCGGUAUGUUAUUUCGUUCUCUAUUGCUACAUUAAAAAUCUGUGAUAAAUUAAAAGAGAAAAGACUUAUUGACUCACAAGUUUAGUGGUGUGUGGUCAGUGGGCCUCACUAUUCUGGACUAUAGUGAGAUAACACACUAUAGUGGAAGGUGGUGAGAAGCUGCUGACUUCAUAGUGGCCGGGAAGCUAAGCGAGAUGGCAGGGCCAGAGUCCCAGUGUCUUCAGGGAAGUGACUGACCCUCCUUACUUAGCCUCAGGGCUUGGCCACGUCCCAAUAGUGCCAGGCUCAGAACCAGGCCUUCAGUUUAUGGGCCUUUGGAGAACAUUCCAGAUCUAAACUAGAGCAGAUCCCAGCACUGUGUGCCCGUCCGUGCACACAUAUGAACAUAUUUAGGGGACUCAUGAUAUUUACAUAUAUAUUCAUACGUAUAUGUGCAUUAUAAUGUUCAAAUCAGGCGAAACCCAUCUAGAUGCUCCAACAGUUAUCAUUCCCCUGUGAUGAAAACAUUAAAAAAUCCUGUCAUCUAGCUAAAGUAUAUAUACUGGGGGUUGGAGAGAUGGUUCAGAGGUUAAGAGCACUUGCUCUGCUUCCAGAGGACCUGAGUUCGAAUCCCAGCACUCAUAUCAGGUGGCACACAUCUGCCUAUAACUGUGAUUCUCAACCUGGAGGUCUUGGCCCCUUUGGGGGUUGAACAACCCUUUCAUAGGGGUAAGCAUAUCAGAUAUUUACAUUAGGAUUCAUAACAGAAGCAAGAUAAUAGUUAUGAAGUAGCAAUGAAAAUGAUGUUAUUGUAGGGGUCACCACAACAUGAUGGGGAAGCAUGUGAAUCAGGAAGGUUGAGAACCACUGGUCUAUAACGCCAGCUUCCGAGGACCCCACACCUUCUCUGGCCUCCACAAGUGUGCACAUUCAUACACAUAAGUGAAAAUAAUAAAAAUAAAUCUUUUUUUAAAGAAUUAUUUAUUUUAUGCAUAUGAGUACACUGUAGCUGUCUUCUGACACACCAGAAGAGGGCAUCAGAUCUCAUUACAGAUGGUUGUAAGCCAUCAUGUGGUUGCUGGGAAUUGAACUUAGGACCCCUGGAAGAGCAGUCAGAGCUCUUAACUGCUGAGCCAUCUCUCCAGCCCCACAUGUCCAUAUUUUUAAGCAUUUACAUUUCAGUGAAUUGUAAGAAUAUAAGUGCUGUAUUUUUUUAAGGUAUUAGCCAUUUGAUUCUCAUUUGCUUGGUUUUGUUUUGAAUGGAAAUAG
rnacentral:lncRNA from 1 species